UUCUAUUUAAAUAAUAUCCACUAGAGAAAAAGUGGGGGAAAGAGCCCCAGGUUUGGUAGGGAGAACGUGCUACAAUGUUUCCCCACUCUUUAUAUAAAUAGGACCAAAAAGUUUACCAAACAAUCAACUUUAUAUUUCCUAAAGCCUUGAGAAAAUUUGGAUUAUGUGUUUCC